AACAAACGCUGGCGGCGUGUCUUAAGCAUGCAAGUUGAGCGGCAAGGAGGAGAGAUCCUCCCUAGAGCGGCGGACUGGUGAGUAACGCGUGGGUAAUCUAUCGUAGGCAUGGGGAUAGUCACUAGAAAUAGUGGGUAAUACCGAAUACGUUCCAUGAGGGGAGUAUUCAUGGAAGAAAGGGUGCUACGGCACUGGCCUUAGGUGAGCUCGCGUCCCAUUAGCUAGUUGGUGAGGUAAAGGCCCACCAAGGCGAUGAUGGGUAGCCGGCCUGAGAGGGUGUACGGCCACACUGGGACUGAGAUACGGCCCAGACUCCUACGGGAGGCAGCAGCUAAGAAUCUUCCUCAAUGGGGGAAACCCUGAAGGAGCGACACUGCGUGCAGGAUGAAGGCCCUUUGGGUUGUAAACUUCUGUGACGGGGGACGAAAGAAAUGACGGUACCCCGAGAGGAAGCCCCGGCAAACUACGUG
rnacentral:rRNA from 1 species